rnacentral:lncRNA from 10 species
UCCUGAGCAGUUUUUUAUUUUGAUUGAUAAACUUUUAAAAUGUGUUUGAAUUACAAUAUUUAUAUAUCAGGAAUAUGAAAGGUUUAAUCAUAAAAAUUACAUAAUAUUUCUUCCAACAUUUUCAUCUUGUCCAUUUCUUCAUAUCUAUAGUGGAGAAUUAUCCCUCUGUAGGCAAGAAGAAGUCUUUAUUCUCUUCGGAAGCUGCUCCUCUUGCACUCCAAAAUAUAGUUCUGAUGGAAGCUGCCAAUCACUUUAUCCCAUUCCCAGAACAGGCAUGGUACCAGACUGAGGUCAAUCCUAUACUCCACCUUAUUUGCCAUGGAAAAUAGCCUAGCGAUACUUGCAUGACUCAGGGCAGUUGGAGUAGUUUGAUGGAAUUUUUUAAACCACAGCUGACAGGAAGUAGCUCUGUUCCUUAUUAGUUGCAAAUGCUGCAAGCAUAUGACCCUAGAGUUAUCUGUUGCCAGUUGUUGCCUUGUGGAGAUCAUAGGCUUAAGAUGAUGAAGGCAGCAAUCAGCAAUAAGCAGAGGUGUGCUUGUGUGUGUGUGUGUGUGUGUGUGUGUGUGUGUGUCAGAAUGAGAGAGAGAGAAAAAUUACUGCUUCUGAAACCAAAUCCAUUUCCAAGGUGUGGUUUUAGAAGCAAAUAAAUUGCCAAUUUCAGAGCUGAUUCAAGUUGAAUUUUUGUCCUGUAACCAAAAGAGUCCUGACUAACAGCCAAAACUCAGGCUGUCAAGUAAACAUAAUCUGUAAGAAUCCGCUUUCCAGCCUCCAUUCCCCUUGACAUCUUCCUGAAAGAAGAUUUGUAUAGGAAAUGCUGACGUCUCUUUGGCAACUGCAUAAAAAUUAUUGUAUUCAACAAAUUUAUUAUAUGUCUCUUUGUGGCCAGGCAGCUUGCUUGGCACUGGAAAUUGGCUAGGGAGAUUGGGGCAAGAAAAAUACCUCUCUCCAUGGUGGAGGCAUACAUAAAAGCCGAUUGCUACACAACUGCGUAAGAAGUGCUUUAAUCAAAGCCUGAAUAAAGUGUUGUGGAAACUCAAAGGAGCAAGCAAAAUGCUUCACAUGAAAGUUGGACAUUCGAGUCAAAGACUCACAGGAUUUUCCCAAGCAGAAAAGAAAGGAGAGGACAUCAUGGACAGAGGAAAUAGCAUGGUGCAAAGGCAUGGUAUGAAAAAAAUACACGACAAAUUUGUGGAAUAACAGAACUUUUGAUGUGAUCACAGCAUAAUGUGGAGUUGGGUAACAGUGAGGGAUUAGGCUAACCAGCUUGGCAGAAUACUGACUAAAAAUUCUUAAAUGCUGUGCUAAGUUGUUAGAAUUUUAUCUUACAGGUUUUGAGAAGCCAUCUGCAGCUCACAACUAGAUGAGUGACACAAUCAGAUGUGCGUAUGCAAAAAAAAGCCUGGAGACAUUGAACUAAGAUCAAAUUUAAUGUAUUAAAUAUGGUAGAAAGAAGAGAGAAUGAAAAAUAAUGUUAACAAUCUAGGUGAGGAAUUGCUGAGGAGACAAAUUAAGUAGGUGUAGUCCUUCCUUAGCCUGCUUUUUAAUGAGUGCUGCUAAAGCCCUUAGCCUGCCUGUUUACCCUUGGAGUGGAGCAAUGAACUGAAGAUAUUUGAGUGAGUUCAAGAGAGACUCAGAAGAGAAGAAUUGGAGGCAGCAAACAUAGACAGCACUUUUAAUGCUUUUCUCAUAUGCUGUAAGACAUGAAAGCAAUCUAUUGGGAUGAAAGCUGAAAGGAGAAGCGGGACAAGAGAAGUGAAUCCGUGGAAGACCCCCAAAAGAGGCUGCAGAUUCUUAGUGGACAGCUCUCAUAUCCCCUCCAGGGAAAAUGAUGAAAAAUGUCUUCAGAAAAAUAGCUUUAUGAAGGCAAGAGGACUUUUUGCACCUGCAAGACAUGUCUGAAAGCUCCUCAGGUCAAAACACAAGUAGUCAAGAGAUUUGUCCAUCUAAUUCAUCAUACUACUCUGAUCCAAGUGAGACCCACACUGGGUCAGCUCCAUCAAGGAGAAGAACAUUCCACCCACGUUUGGAUUCUGGAAUAUCAUCCUUGCUUCCAUCAGAUUCUUGUAAGUACCUCACUUGGCACAAGGUAGACAUGACGUUCAAGGAAGUCAACUGCGUUGCCCAAGAGUAAGAGAAGGAAUCUCUGAAGAAGAGCAACUUUUCAGACAGGUAGAGUGUGCCUUGCUCCCAAGGAAAAGAGUUCUUGAAAAAAACAAAUGGGAAACAUGGCUACAAGAAAACUGGGAAGACUGCAAGAAAAUCUCAGAAUCUGCUUGAGAAUCCGGUCCUUCUUCCUCCAUACACCCAUGGAACACUCCCAAACUCUGUAUGCUGCUCACUAAUUCUGAUUAAGGUCUUCACCCUCCCUACCUUGGAAAUUGCUACAACAUAAUUGUGUUUAAUUUGAACAUUUCAUUUCAGGGUUUGGGGGAUCCUUACCAAGUUGAAAAUUUUAACAGAAUUCUUAGAAGACUAAUUCGAGUUGAAACCCUCUGGGAUUGCUAGAGAACCCCUUUUACAGGGAGCUGCUAUUUGCUUCAGCAGGCAGAAUGCGUAGGUGGAGUGAGCUUUGGUGGCAAUGAGAGGGGCCAACAGAGGUCCUCAGGAGUGAAUUAGAUGAAGGAAAUUGAGCAUCCACAAAAAGGAAAGAUCCACCAAUAAGAAGACAGCACAAUUCAAAAGAGAAAGGACUUAAUGACAGAGCUAAUAAUGCAAAAACAUGCUAACUGACAAGAAAAUCAUGGGUUUUAUACAAGGAUAACAAGUGCUGGGUUGCUUAGCUAUGAGGAAGGCUAGGCUCACUGCAUACCAGAAGAUGUACAGCGUUGGAGAAUUCAGGGAUUUUUAUCAACAAUCAAACUAUAUUUGUGGAAAUUUUGUGCAUAAGUGCCAAAGAUGGCUGACAUCGGACCACAUUCUAUUUAACUCAACUGAAUGACACCAAGCUCUCAUCCUAAAACUUAUAGUUACAUCCACCCUUCUGAAAUAUUUAAUUAUUCUCCAAUACACUGGAGGUAAUAGGUAUAAAAAGAAUGAGCAUGUGCAACUUAGUAUCUCAUAUCUAAUUUUGUGUCCCAAGUUCAUUCUUCCCCUGAAUGUCCCAUGUCUACCAGGUGCAGGAUUAUCUGGAUGGGUCAGUUCAAAACAAUUUCAGGGAAUAAAUUGUGUAGGGGACUCAAUUUUCUGAGACAGAAACAUAAUGUGAAUAACUCCUUUGUUAGAAAAUAAUUUCAGUGACAGAAAGCCUUUCAGUUCAUAAAGAAAACUUACAUAUCAACAAGCCUAGCUCCUCACUAGUCCCAGUGAAUGCUUACAUCAAUCAGCUCUACAAUAUCCAGUAAAGGACUUUCCAAUUCGCCUUUGAAUAAACUGAGGUAUUGGAAACAUCUAAGAAAAUGGUUUUUAAUUCUUCCUAAUCUUCAGGGAGUUCUUCCUUAUAUUGAGCUGAUAUCUGCCCUCUGUAACUUUCAACUAAUUAUUCAAAUCUCUCAAGUGAUUAUAAUUAAUUCCAUCUUAUAAGGAAUUUUUCUCAGCUUCCAGCCUCUUGAAAAUACUCUGAUAUUUUCUCUAAUAUUCAAGUGGAAAUGUAAAUGGGUAACGUAAGAGUCUGUGGGGUUAGGAGGGUGGAGGAAAGGUAAGGGAAAGCUAAUGAGAAAUAACCAAAGCAAGAAAAAGAAUUUUAUUUUCUUCAAGUUCUUUGUACAUCCAAAGUGGAAGAUUCCUAAAAUAAAUUCCCCAUACCACAUUUUAAAAAUUAGGUUAGCAAGCUUACUUUUUAAUUUAUUUAGAAGCCAACUACUUCCAUUUAUUAUUUCUUUCCAGAAUAGAACAAUUAUCACUAAUUGUUUGUCAUUAUAAUGCCAAACUAUGUUAAUAGAUGCCUAUUUUUUUAAAGGCUAAUUGCAAUCAUGAAACCAAAUAUCUAAUUAGUUUUAGAGCUUUGGACCACAUGCAUCAAUAUUUGAAUCAUUCAGGUGUAUAUUUGCUUUCUGCUUUUUUGUCUCUUCAAAAGAAGUAUUAUAUGCAUUCUGUUUAUAAUUUCUAAAUGGUCAUUUCAAAACUGAUUAUACGAGUUUAUACAAAUCAUACUGAAAUUUGUUGCUUAAAAAAUCUUCAUUUUUCUCUAAGCUCUCAGUGUCCUUGAGCUAUAUAUAUUUUAUGGCAAUUUUUACUUAAUAGUUUGUAUGCUAGUUAUUUUUGACAAUGACUACUAAAAUGCAAGUUUCUUCAAGGGCAGAUUCACCUUAGUUCUUCUUUAUACCCCUCAAAAACCUCAGGGUUAUUCUCAAUAAGUAUUGAGUAGGUGAGUGAACUUUGGAUGUAUACUCCUUGAAAUUAUAUUUCUGGAGCUGGAAAACUUUAAAAAAAUGUAUGUCAUGAGUCUAAAGAAAUAAACAUUAUAUGGCUGAAAAAAUACUUUGUGAAAACCAAAAAUCUCAUGGAAUCAUGAACUUAUCUAUGGGACAGAUGUUAGCCCUGAGGUUGUUCUGGGCUUCUUUUCUACCCACUUCCCAUGACCAAAUCAGUUCACUAGUCAGCAGUUCUAUCCUUCCUCUCCUUCUCCUUCCAUCUAAGGAGCUAGAGCUGAACUGCUUGGCCACUGAUUGCUGACAUGCUGAGUUUUCUACAGCUGGAGUUUUCAAGAGGGCUUUGAUUUUGCUUUCCCCAGUUUUCCUUCUUCCACACUUGAAAAGUGGUAAGGGUACCAGCUUUCUGUCUAUCUCUGACUCUCUCUCUCUCUUUCACACACACACACACACACACACACACACACACACACACUUUUUUUUUUCUUCCACCCUCCUGCACAGCAGGAGACCUUGCCUUGAUCUUUGAAGGUCUACAGCAAGUGGUCUAGGCUAACUCAGUGCUGGGCAAAUGGAGCAAAAACUCUUUUCUGCUUCCUUGCCUCCAUGUCUUUCAGAGCUAGCAGAUACAGCUUUUGUUCUAUAGGAGUGAUUCUUUCUAAAUGUCAGCUCAACAGGAUGAUGGUCACUCUUGUAUAUCACUUAGGCAUGAGUUCUGUUGAAUCCCA